UAUGCAAAUAGGCCUUACAGUAUGGU
rnacentral:piRNA from 1 species